UCGGAAACAAUAGAAGCAACAGCAGCAAAAAUCACACAGUAGAAACAAAAUAGUUUAAAGGCCAAUAACAGAGCAGAAAAAAAACUAAAACCAAAGAAACAAACAGCCACAAAACAAAAACAUUAGCAGGAAAAACCCAAAAUGGAUACCAGCCAAAAGCCUUACGAUUGAAAAAACCCAUUCAAAGCUCGAAGGGGCCGAAAGAAGGUAGCUUUGAAGCCAGCAAUGGAGAUUCAAACUGAACCUUCUCCAACCUUCAAAGCUCAGAAAACCCUUAACGAUGAUGAAACCAUGCAGACUGAUCCAUCUCUACUAGCUUUGCAACAGGAUCCGGAGCUUCCUCAACCCAGAAACAAGAGGUGUUUCGAUGGCGUCCAUCCAUUGCCAAAGCGUGCGCCGCCCUAUUAACCUCUCUGGGAACAAAACGGUACACAACGUUAUCAAAAGCUCUCUAAUAAUUGAAUAUUUUGCGUAAUCGAUCUAAGGAUAGAUCUGUCCUCUUUGGUCGAGUUUAAUUUUUUGAUAGUUGUCAGGGAGUCUCCUUCCAAGAUAAGUUUACUGAAGCCCAUAUCCUACGCAAAAUAAAGAGCCCUUUCACACAUACGCAUUUCUACAACAAGCACCCAUAAUCUGGCCUUCCGCAUCUCUAGCUAGGACUGCUACAAUAGAUACAUUAGUGUUGCUCAUAAAAGAAGCAUCAAAGUUCAGUUUAAUAUUUCUAACUGUAGGUGGUUGCCACAAAACGUUCAUUGCUACUUCCAGAGGAGAGACAAUAACUUUACUACUGCUAAAAUCCUGAGCAUAGCUCAGAAUAAAGCCCAUAAGUUCACGUAUCCUGAAGUUAAGUCCCUCAUUUACCAACUUAUUCCUUUUAUACCAAAGAGCCCACAAAGAAAUAGUAAUGAGUUUCUUGGACAACAUAUCAGCAGCUAGAAAAUUAUUACAAAUUGUGUUUUCCAUUCGAGGUAUCAAUGCUGGAGUCGAAAGAGAGAUUCAAAAGAACCCAGAGUUGUCUCAAGACGCUACAAGUCCAAAAUAAGUGAUGUGAAUCCUUUGGAGCCUCAUUGCACAAAGGACAGGUAGUAUCAACUCGCAGUCUCCGUUUGGCCAAAUUACAGAAAUGAGGCACAUAAUUUUUUAGGAUACGCCAUAGAUGAAUUUUAAUUUUAGCAGGGAGCUACAAGCCCCAAGUUGAUGUAUAAAGUGUUUUGUAAUUAUCCGAUGAGGCCAAAAUACCAUCUUUAAAUUGGGUCAUUUUUGUAAGUAAUGUUCGGUAGCCGCUCUUAACCGAAAACUCCCCAGAAGCAUCAUGGCGCAAGACCAAUGUAUCCUGAGCAUUACAACCCGUAAGAGGAAUAGUAAGGAUGCGCCUAACCUGUUCAUCAUCAACAAUCUUGCAAAUUACAGCCUUGUUCCAGGUACCAGUGUUAGCAUUAAUUAACUGAUCAACAGUUGUCCAGUGAGUAUCUAUAGCCUGUACUAACAAUCUACCAUUCCAAGGACCAAGCAACCAGGGGUCAUUCCAGAUGUUCACCUUCGUACCACAGCCAAUUCGCCGCAGAAGUCCAUCAUCAAACAGCUCCCUCACACAGCAGAUACUUCUCCAGGUAAAAGAAGGGUAAGAGCCGAUUUUAGUUCACAAAAUAUCAGUGAAUGGAUAAUAACGAGAUUUAAGAACUUUAGAUAAAAGACAAUCGGACUGCGAUAAAAGACGCCAAACUUGCUUAGCUAAAAGAGAUUUAUUAAAUAAAUAAAGAUCCCAAAAACCCAGCCUACCAUUAACCUUUGGCAAACAUAGUGCACUCCAGGUACUCUAGUGAAUUCCUUUCGCAGAUUUACUGUUUGACCACCAAAAUUUAUUCAUAAUACGAUGACAUUAUUCUUUUGGCAAUGCAAAACAUUGCAUAACAUAAACCAAUAUUGCUUGUAAAACUGCCUUUAUAAAAACCUCUUUACCACCCAUUGAAAGGUACCUAAAGCUCCACCUCUCUAUACGCCGUCGAAACCUGUCAACAAAAUUUGCAAAUGCCUUUUUUUUUCUACCCAAUUAUCAUGGGUAAACCCGAAUACUUUUCAGGGUUCAUUGACAUCCUAACACCCAGAGUGUUAAUAAUAAAAUUCCUAUCCUCAGCCCCCACACAAGCACCAAAAUAAAUGAGUGACUUGUCCAAAUUAAUUUGUUGUCCUGAUGGAAAUUCAUAUUCCAAAAGGAUCUUGCUUACAAUGUGUGCCCGUUCAGCCGAAGCAUCACCAAAAAUGAUGCAAUCAUUUUCAAACAACAAGUGGGUAAUCGCUAACUUACCCCUACCAAUCAAAACUCAUCGCAUUGUAUGAUUACGCUUAGCCAUUUUCAAUAAAGAAGAAAGACCUUCCGCACAAAGAAGAAAAAGGUAAGGGUUAAGCUGGUCGCCUUGCCUUAGUCCUUUCGACGGAGUAAAAUGAUCACUAACAUCCUCAUUAAUACCCACUAUAUAUGUAACCAAGCAAACACACCGCAUAAUGAGAACAAUCCAAUUUUGAUGAAAAUUCAGUCUAGACAUCAUUCCAGCCAAAAAAUCUCAUUCCACCCGGUCAUACGCUUUGCUAAGGUUAAGUUUAAGCGCAAAAUUCUCGUUUUUAUUCUUUUUCUUUAUCUUAAGAGAAUGAAGCACCUCAUAGGCAAUUAAUGUAUUGUCUGAUAUAUGCCUCCCGGGAAUAAAAGCACCCUGAGAUUCAUCAAUACAAUAUUUUAGAAUUGGACUCAUACGAGCUACCAGUACCUUCGCAAUAAUCUUAUAAAACAUGGUGCAUAAGUUGUAGGCCUAAACUGAGACAGAUUUUUUGGUUUGUCCACUUUGGGGAUGAAAACCAAAUGAGUUCUAUUAAUGUUGCCCAUUUCAAUUCUGCCAUUUAAAACCUCCAAACAAUAGUUUAAGAUCUCAUCACCUACAAGAUGCCUAAGAAAUAAAUAUGGUUAGUUGGGGAUAAUAUUUGUAUCUUUUUGAAAAUAAAAUAGUUAUUUUAUCCUUUAUUUUUCUUUUAUUUUUUUCUCUCCCUCAAUUUUUCCCACGUUCAAUUGUGGGGUAGUUUUCAUUUUUAUAUUUUUCCCUUUUUUCCUUCCUUUAUUUAUACAUCUGUUCUUCUUUCUCAACUCUUUGGUUCUCUUUUAUUUUCCUUGGUUGCAAGGAUUGUUCUCUUACAUUCUUGUCAAUACUGGUUGAGUUCCUUUGUUUCGGUUGUGGGCUUAAAUCGUAGAGGUAAGAUUCCAUCAUCUGUUUCUAUGGUCUUUUGUGGAAUUGAUGCGAGUAAUUGGAAAUUUUGGAAUUAUGGUAAUGUAGUGCAAAAUUUGUAUUUUUGCAUAAUCUUAUUUGUACAAGCCCAAUUUUUGACCCAGGGCCCAAUAACAAAUUUUAACCUAAAAACUACCCAGGCCCAACUAGCCUAACCCAAUCAGCCCAAAACAUAAACACCUAGCAGAAACCCUAGCCCCUUGUUGUGCCGCACCUGCUCCUGGCCUCCUCACCUGCCCUCUGUUCACAGCCGUCACCACGCCCACUUGCCACCGACUCACCUGCUCCAACUGCUCCGCCAGCACCUGCAAAACACGCAAAUAACAGCAACCACAAAAUGAAAAGAAAAAAGCAUGUAAUGUUGGCUAUAAAAGCCAAGUUUAUCCACUGUAAAAAGGGUUGGCCCCUUUGUUCUAUUGGCCUUAACGAAUCUAUUUCCCAGAAAUAAAAAGAAACAAAGAAUUUGAAGGUGAUUUUGGUCUUUAUUAGAUUCGCAUUUUUUUUAUCUCUUAUUUUUUUCAUUUAUUUUAGAUAUCAAUAAUAUAAAAUAAAAGAGAGAAAAAGGAGAGGAAAAUUUUACCUUUGAAUUUUUCGGCCACCGUGUACGGUGGCCGACGCGACGCCGUCAAUGGCGGAAGAUCGCCGGAACCCAUGGCCGGACUUGGGCCUGAGAGAGAAGGAGAGAGCUCUCUCUCUCUCUGUUUUUUUUAAAUGAUGAAACUGAUUUGUUUUUUUUUGGUUUUUCUUAUUAUUUAUACUAAACAUGAAACGACGUCGUUUUGGUGGGGAGGAUCCACGCGUUGACCCGACCCAACCGCCUAGGAUCCGCGUGUUUUCUAGCGCAUGGGUAAUUUGCGCACGCGGUCCUCCCUUUUUUGCGAUGGUUUUCAAUUUGGUCCAAGAACCAUGCGCCUGGGCCUUGGCAGAACGGCACCGUUUGGUUAACAUGGGAAUAUUUCCCAUUUGGCCCUUCUACUUUUCGCGUCCAUCACAAUUGGGUCCCUUUCUUUAUUUAUUUAUUUUCGAUUUCGCCCCAAAUGUUGCUCUUUUAUUAUUCUAGUCCUUUUCUAAUUUUUUUUUACUUUUAUUUUAUUAUUAAACCUAUUAUGUUAUUUACUGUUAUUAUUAUUAUCCUCAUAUUUUGUUUAUACUUAUUAUGUAAAUUUUAUAUAUAUAUGCUUCAUAUUAUAUUAUUAUUAUAUAAUUGCUUAUAUAUGUAUAUAGGUAUAUGUAUAUGUAUGUUUUUUUUAUAUACAUAAAUACUCUUUUUUUUCAUAUGUGUAUAUUUAUAUAUAUAUAUAUGCUCUUACAUAUUCAUUAUAUUUUCAAAAUAUAUUGUUUAUAUUUUUUGUACUUUGUGAUUUAUAUAUAUAAUUACAUAUGUAUUUAUAUAUAUUUGAUGAUGGUUUUAUACGUAUACAUGUACGUGCAUAUAUGCUUAUGUAUUUUCACGCCCAAUAGUUUUAAAUAAGGUGUACAUGCGUAUGUUUUUCAUAUUUUCAUGCUUAUAUGUAUACGUGUUUAUGUAUCUUUAUAAUUAUAUGAUUUUUGUUGAUUUUGUUCAUUUAUUUAUUUACAUGUUUAUUAUUGUUUAUUUUCUUACUUUAGUUUUUUAUCGUUUGUUAUUUCGCCCGUAUAAUUGUUUUUAUUGUUUAUUAUUUUGCUUGUAUCAUUUUAUUUACAUUGUCAUCAUUAUUAUUAUUUUGCAUUCAUUUUUACUCGGAUUUAUCAAAAAAACAAAAAAAUCUAAAAUAAAAGUAACACUCGGUAUUUUAGAUUUUCGAGAGAAUCGAGCCCUAACGUAUUGGGUUCCGAUUUUCUUCGUUGAAUUUAAAUAAUCGAGAUUACUCUUUUAAAAAUGAUAUAAAGCUCGUUAUCAAGAAUUCAAUACGUUGUGUCCUAACGCAUUGGAUGUGACACGUUGUUUUCUCGAGAUGAGGAUUUUUCGAAAUAAAUGCAAUAUUCAAUGUUUAAUAUUUUAAGAAAUUGUGCCCUAACGUAUUGGGUUGCGAUUUCUUCACUUGAUUUUAAACAAUUGAAUAUUCUUUUAAACUUUAUUACACGAUUCUUUUAAACUCAAGUUAAAUGAUAUCGGGAGUUAAGAAAAGAUUGUGUCCUAACUUACUGGACAUGAUCCCUUUCCUAAACCCGAGAUAAUAAAAUAUCUUUUUAAAUAAAUAAAAUUUUGGCAUUCAUUCGCGUAUCGGAAAUUCGAGACAUUGUGUCCUAACUUACUGGAUAUGAUGCUUUUUUUUCUCGAUUAACGCGGAAUGUGUCCCCUUUUCCCAAAAUUUUCAACUUUUUAAUACAAGGAACGUAUUUUUAAAUUUCUUUAAAGUUUUCAACUUUUCGACAUUAAGACAUUAAGUAAUCAACUAAGGUACCAAUUUUGGGCGUAUCGAGGGUGCUAAUCCUUCCUCGUGCGUAACCGACUCCCGAACCCGUUUUUCUGAAUUUCGUGGAUCAAACCUGUUGUUUUAAUAAAAUCAAACCGUUUAUUAAAAAUAACUAUUUUUCGAGGUGAUCCAAUCACACCUCAUAGAAAAGGAUUGGUGGCGACUCCCGUUUCAUUUUUCAAAACCCAAGUCGACCCCGUUUUCAUCAAAAAAAUGGUGUCAACAGCUUGGCGACUCCGCUGGGGAUACCAAAGAGGGUCAAGCCACGUGGUGAUUACUUUUUGUCUUUUGUCAAAAAUUGAAAAUUCGGUUUAAAAUUACGAUCCUUUCAUCGCAUUUUAUCUGUCUUUAUCAUAAUCAUCAUCAUUGGGGUUUAUAAUUGCUCUGUUUGUUUAAAUUUUGGUAUCUUUCCGCAUUGCAUUGCAUGACCGUUGGUCACACCUUUUUAGGUGGGAGUGUGAAGCUACGCCUUCGUGAGGUUUUCACUUCCGCAUGGGAUAGUGAAUCACUUUCGGGAUAUAUCCGUACCUAUGUCUUCGUGAGAUUUUCAUCUCCGCAUGGCCAUAGGGAAAUGUAUCCCCCUGAAUCGAACUUGGUCCGUAUGAGCCUAUAAUGGGUGAGGAUCGAGGAAUUUGCUGGUUCAGGUACCCUACUUUAGAACCAAACCACAUGUAAUGAGCCAUAGGAACCGACCUAGGUAGAGCUACUCCAAAUUUUUAGUGCUUACCUAAAUGAAUGUUGUAUUUAUUUGUCGCUUAUUUUAAAUCUUAUUGUGUUUAAUGCUAAUUUACUUUGUUUGUGAUUGCAUGGCAUCUUCAUUCUAAAAGAGGUGUCGAUUUACGUUCAGUUUCUUGGUAGAAAGCUUAUCAUGGAAAAGGGGUUUGUUGAUAAAGUAGAGGAUAAUGCGGUUGUGCGAAUAUGGGCUGAAACGACACAACGGGAGAAAGGCGAUAGUCUUACCGAAGGGUACGUGUCAGAAUUGUGGGAUUUUACCCGUAUCAGUGUAAUCCAGAAUGACCUUCGAGAAAUGAAAGAAGUCUGGGAUCAAUGGGAUGUCGAGGCCAAGCAGCUGUUCUAUUGUAACUACGGUGACCUACCUUAUCUGCUUAGUGUCAAAGUGGACAAGUAUUUAUUCCGAGCCCUUGCUCAGUUUUGGAAUCCUGCCUACAGUUGUUUCACUUUUGGAAAGGUAGAUUUGACGCCUACUGUGGAGGAGUAUACGACCUUGCUUCGGUGCCCAAAGAUUCAAGUCGACAAGGCUUAUUCCAGAGCUGCUUGUGUCCCUCCGUUGUUAAAGAAAUUAAUGAACAUCACUGGGAUGAGCGAGCAGUGGGUCGCUGCCCGGAUCUAACAGAAGGGCGACAGUAAAUGUGUUCCUUGGAAAAGUUUGCGAGAUUUGGUGCUUGUACAUCCUGACUUAAAGAAAAGGGUCGAUGUCUUCGCUUUAGGUAUCUAUGGACUAGUGGUUUUCCCCAAAGCUUUAGGACACAUAGACGAGGCUGUAUCUGAUUUGUUUGAUCGGCUUAGUAAAGGGGUUACACCGGUUCUGGCAAUACUCGCUGAAACUUUUAGAUCCUUGAAUGCGUGUCGAAAAGCAGGGGAGGGAAGGUUUAUUGGAUGCGUGCAACUCUUAUUGGCAUGGUUCCAUAGCCACUUCUGGAAAGUCGAAAAGGUCUCUUAUCGGAUAUUCUCUGAUAGCUACUCCCCUCUAGGAGAAUUGGUGGCCACGCCAAGACGAGAUGAUAUUUCAGAAGAAAAAUGGAUAGAGAUACUCCAGAAUCUCCAGGAUGAAGAUAUUGAAUGGAGGGCUCCUUGGUUAAUUCCUGAUGAGAUAUUGUACCGAUGUGGAGAUUUUGACUGGGUUCCGCUGCUCGGGAUAUGGGGAGCUAUCGGAUAUGCUCCUCUACUCGUAUCAAGACAGUAUAGAUCACGACAAUUUAUACCAGCAACGCAGGGGUUGGCUUAUAGUGAUUUUUCCUAUAGGGAGGACAAUUACAAGAAGAAGGUUCGAGAAAUAUCUAGUGCCUGGAACCAGACUCGUCGAAUGAAGAUCUUAGCCGUGGGUCCGAUAAUUACCCCCGAGUAUGGUCAGUGGCGUGAUCAAAGGAUCAACGACAACAUCCCGGCGUCAAAUUCAGAAACUGCUCGAUCUUUAGAGGAACACUUACAAGUUUUGCCUUCUGAAAUAGAAAUCAUCAAACAAGAAUUCGAAAAAAGGAGUUUAGAAUUGGGGAAGAAGAUAGAACAACUAGAGGAAGAAAAAAUGCAGUUAGGACUGGAUGUGGACAUUCAAAGAUUAGAGGCCAACAAAUUGAGAAAAGGAAAGAACAAAGCAGAAGAAGAUUUGGACAGCCUGAAGACAGAUUACAAGAAGUUGCGUAGGUCGGUAAGAGCUGCUGGCUUGGGUAAAGCACCAGAACAAUGGCGACAAGAAAUUCAGGAGGAAAAGACGAAAGCUAAUCAAUGGGAAAAGAAAUUCCAGGAUACUCGGGCUCGAGAAGUCGCCUUGGGAAAGAGUCUACUAGUUUGCCAAGACAAGAAGACGGAGUUGAAGGUCCGGAUAACUGAACUAGAAAGAUCGCUUCACCAGUACUGUAAUCGUAAUGCUACGGUUGAAUUAAGGGCGAGCUUAGACAAAAUUGAAGAAUUAAAAGGACAAAUAGGAGGGCUAGAGAAUGCAUUGCAAAAUAGUGAAAUCCGGAUAGAGCUUCUGGAAGAAAAUAAUGAGCAGUGGCAAAGACAAUUCCGUCGGUCUCAAGAGCAGAUUAGAGAAAGAGAUUAUAUUAUGGGAGAGGCGGUGGCUCAAGUGCGCGAAGUAGCUGAUCAUCUGCAAACUCUAGCGGUUCAGGCUGAUCUAUUAAGUUUGAAGUAUGAGUUAGAGUCGGACAGGGGCCGAGAGUUAGCUUGGCUUCUUAGAAAGGUUAAGGCUUUGAGUGUAAGGGCAAAGCCAUAUAUGUAGUCUAUUUUAUGUAAAGAAACUCUUUAUCUAGUAAAGUUUUCUAAUGAAGUUGAAUUAGAAUCAGUGCCUCUUUUUCUUUGCAUUCUUUUCAUGCAUUGCAUCACAUCAUAUGCAUUAAUGACCAUUAAAAACCUAAUCGAAUAAAAUCAUUUCAGUUAACCUGGAAAACCAACAAAGUUACGGCACCCGAGCUAAGACAAAAAUUAUGGACCAAAGGUUGGAGAAGCUAGAGUGACUUCAAAAAGAAAUGCAAGACCAGUUGCAGGCGCAAAUGAAAGAGCAAAUAGAAAAGAUUCGGCGUGACAUGGUGCAAAAGAUGGAGGAGUCCCAAAAUGAUCUGGUGGCUAAGAUGACGCAAUUAUUGAAGGGAGUAGAUAAGGGUAAAGGUCCUGUGAUUGUUAGUGAAGAAGAAAACAAUGGUGAACCACUUUAUCCUCCAGGUUUCACGCCUCCGCAUGCGCAAGUACAGACUGAGCUGCAUCCGCGGAGACCCUCUGUGUCGGUUAGGCCCCAGCAGUUCCAAGGCGAUGCUCCAAUCCCAAUGAAUUUUCAACCCGGAGCGGGCUUUAAUCCCGGAUAUAGCCCGAAUAAUAUUGCUGUCCCAGAUCUUGACGAGAUGGUUGAAAAGGACAAGGCGAAGGAGGAAUUUCCAAAAUAAUUUGAGAAGAAAUGGAAAUGGAUAGAAGAGAAGUUUAGAGCAAUAGAAAGCAUCGAAAGCUAUGGAAUAGAUGCAAAGGACCUGAGCUUGGUUCCGGACUUGGUGCUCCCUUACAAAUUUAAGAUGCCGGAAUUUGAGAAAUAUAACGGGACUAGUUGCCCAGGAUCCCAUAUUACUAUGUUUUGUAGAAGAAUGACGGGGCAUAUUAAUAAUGAUCAAUUAUUAAUACAUUGCUUUCAGGAAAGUCUUACGGGAGCGGCGUCAAAGUGGUACAAUCAGCUGAGCCGAGCUAAAAUUGCUACUUGGAGGGAUUUAGCACAGGCUUUCCUGAGACAAUACAAUCAUGUCUCAGAAAUGAUGCCUGACAGGAUAACUCUGCAAAAUUUAGAGAAGAAAUCGAACGAAAGCUUCAGACAAUAUGCGCAGAGGUGGCGAGAGGUGGCGGUUCAGGUGCAACCACCGCUUUUGGAAAAAGAGAUGACGACGCUUUUUAUUAAUACUUUGAAAGCCCCGUUCAUCACUCACAUGUUGGGAAGCGCUUCAAAAAAUUUAUCGGAUAUAAUCAUGAAUGGGGAAAUGAUUGAGCAUGCCAUUAAAAGUGGAAAAAUAGAUGGAGGAGAAAAUAAUAGGAGGGCACCCCUGAGGAAAAGAGAAAAUGAAGUGAAUAAUGUGAAUGCUUAUGGUAGGUCAAUUACCGUGAAUCAACUAAAGAAAGUGGUUGCUAAUCAACAGGGAUCAUCAAGACAAGAGUCGGGAGCUAGGCAAACUACUGAAAAGCGCCAAUUCACGCCAAUCCCGAUGUCAUACAAGGAGUUGUAUCAGACUUUAUUCGAUGCACAUGUUGUUGCUCCUCGUUACUUGAGUCCUCUACAACCCCCGUAUCCAAAAUGGUAUGAUAUGAAUGCGCAAUGUGAUUAUCAUGCGGGAAUUUCUGGGCACUCGAUAGAAAAUUAUACUGCCUUCAAGAAGGUAGUAGAAGGACUUAUCAAUUUAGGUGUCGUCAAACUUGACGACUCACCUAACGCAAAGAAUCCGCUACCUAAUCACGCAGAUAAGGGGGUGAAUAUGGUUAGCGAAGGUACGGGAGAAGAAGUCAAGACUGACAUUGCUGAAGUAAAAACUCCAUUGAAACGGGUCUAGAAAGAAAUGGCGAAAAGAGGUUUGGUUAUUUCAGAUUCUGAGGAAGGGCAUGAGAUGGGAAAUUAUUGUGAAUUUCACCAUAAAACAGGGCACGAAAUCCAAGAAUGUGAAGGAUUUAAGGCUUUGGUUCAAAUCAUGAUGGAUAACAAGGAGAUGAGGUUUUACGAAGAUGCGAAAGAAAUGAGGAGCAUAUGCGCGACAGAGUUGGGAACAAAGGCUCCAAAAAUAAAUCAUCCUGUGGUCAUUAUCUCACGCCCUAAGGGUAAUGAGGUUAGGGCUCAGGUAACACCGAAAAUUGUAAUCCAGAAACCAUCAAAUUUCUCUUAUAGGGAUAACAAAAUGGUGCCGUGGAAUUACGGGUGUAAUGUGACCAUUUUGGGAAAAGAAGCAGAAAGAAAUCACGAAAUAAGUUCUUACACGCGCAAUAGAAAAAGAUUCGACGCUCAAGCAGAGUCGUCCAGGGAAGAGAAUUGGAAGAAAGAACAGAGGAAAGGGAAAGCAGUAGAAGUUGAACCAUUGGUAAAUGAACCAAUAAAAGAAGAGGAGGCAAAGGAGUUUUUGAAGUUUUUGAAACACAGUGAAUACAGUGUUGUGGAGCAACUGCACAAACAGCCAGCCCGCAUUUCUGUAUUAGCUUUACUCUUAAACUCGGAAGUACAUCGGAAUGCACUAUUAAAGGUGCUAAACGAAACAUAUGUGGCUGACGAUAUUUCGGUAAACAAGCUGGAUCGGCUGAUCAACAAUAUUGGUGCUGACAAUUUUAUCUUCUUCAGUGAUGAUGAAAUACCAUCCGGAGGAAGAGGUUCUACUAAAGCCCUGCAUGUUACUGUCCGAUGCAAAGGGUACACACUCCCGGGGGCCUUGGUUGAUAAUGGAUCUGCACUAAAUGUAUUGCCUUUGUCCACUCUUAGUCGAUUACCAAUAGACAGUUCGCACAUGAAAGCAUGCCAGAGCAUAGUAAGGGCAUUUGAUGGAACAAAAAAGGAGGUUAUGGGGAGAAUUGAGGUACCAUUAAGGAUUGGCCCAGUCACUUAUGAGGUAGAUUUCUUGGUAAUGGAUAUUAAACCCUCCUACAACUGUCUAUUGGGGAGACCGUGGAUACACUCAGCAGGGGCAGUACCUUCAUCAUUACAUCAGAAGGUGAAGUUGGUAUCGGAGGAUCGGUUGGUAACAAUAGAUGCAGAGGAGGAUAUUAUCGCAAUGAUGACUAGCGAUGCACCUUAUGUGGACAUCAACGAUGAGGCACUAGAAUGUUCUUUUCGGUCGUUAGAAUUUGUGAACGCGAUGUUUAUUGCGGAGGGAAAUAGAAUUUCAGUACCGAAAAUAUCCAGGACCACUGAGAUGGGAUUGCGAUUGAUGGUAGGAAGAGGAGCCUUACCCGGGAAAGGAUUGGGAAAAUAUCUUCAGGGAAGGAUUGAGGCACCAAUGCCGAAGGAAAAGUUUGAUAGAUUUGGUUUAGGGUACAAGCCAGACAUGAAGCAGAAGAAGAAAGAAGUAGAGAAGAGACAAGAGAGAAGAAGGGCGCGUUUGAAUGGACAUGAAGCUAGGUGUGAGCCUUUAACCUUUCCCCACAUAUCUACAUCUUUUGUGUCGGGAGGAUUUAUUCAUUCUGAAUGUGGAGUGUCCGGUAGCGGCAUGGGAGGAAUGUUGGAAAACGUUUAUACCAACGCCAUAGAGGCAACGGAAAGGAGGGCUUUGUUGGAGAUCUGCCCUUAUGAGCGUGGAAGCGAGCUAAACAAUUGGACUGCUGAAGAAAUCCCUGUAGUCUUUAGGGCUUAUUCAGAGUAAUGCUCAAAACAUUCCUGUUGUUUGUUGGCCUAGAAACGAUAUGAAAUCUUUUGUGAAAUAGGCAUUGGGCCUAAAUAUCAUUAUUUUAAUGAAAUACGUGUCUACGUUCAUCUCGACCAGUCAUUUUUUUCCUUUUAUAUUUUUCAUUUGGUUGAUUGUCUUACAAAUAAUUCUUUCAUUUGUAAUUCUUUUGCACAAACAUAUUCAUAAAUUUAUAUUCUUGGUAUAUUCUUUGAUAUGCCCUCAUAGGUCUUCAGAUAUCAAUGACAUGAGUGACGCUGCCUCAAACACGGAGCCUAUUUUUGAGCAAGAAGUGUGUUCAGAGGGAUCCCACGACUUUGAAAAUGACGAAGAUUAUGAUGCAUCUCCGGACUUGUUAAGAAUGAUGGAACAAGAGGAUAAGCAUAUCCUACCUCAUAGCGAAUCGUUAGAAAUAGUGAGCCUAGAGGAUGGAAAGGAGGUGAAAAUUGGAACUGAAAUCACCGCAAAGAUAAGGCAAGAUCUCAUUAAUUUGCUCCGAGAGUUCAAGGAUGUUUUCGCGUGGUCGUACCAAGAUAUGCCUGGGCUUAGUACUAACAUUGUGGUGCAUCGUCUGCCCAUAAAGGAAGAUUGUAAACCCGUUCAACAGAAGCUUAGGAGAAUGAGACCUGACAUUGUGUUGAAAAUAAGAGAAGAAGUCAAAAGACAAUUCGACGCUGGUUUCUUACAAGAGGUCAAGUAUUCGGAUUGGGUAGCCAACAUCGUCCCUGUUCCCAAAAAAGAUGGAAAGGUACGAAUGUGUGUGGAUUAUAGGGAUUUAAACAAGGCUAGUCCAAAGGACAACUUUCCACUGCCUCACAUUGAUACUUUGGUAGAUAACACGACGGGCUAUUCAUUGUUUUCUUUCAUGGACGGUUUCUCUGGAUACAAUCAAAUAAAGAUGCAUCCUGGAGACAUGAGGAAAACCACAUUCAUUACCUUAUGGGGAACAUUCUGUUACAAGGUAAUGCCCUUCGGAUUGAAGAAUGCGGGAGCAACGUAUCAAAGAGCUAUGGUGACUUUGUUUCACGACAUGAUGCACAAGGAGAUCGAAGUCUAUGUUGACGAUAUGAUCGCAAAGUCUAGAACGGAAGAAGAGCAUGUUCAGGUCUUGAAAAGGUUAUUUUUGAGAUUAAAGAAAUUUCAGCUCAAGCUUAACCCGGCCAAAUGCACGUUUGGAGCCAGAUCAGGGAAGUUAUUAGGCUUCAUAGUUAGCAAAAAGGGGAUCGAAGUUGACCCAGACAAAGUAAAGGCAAUACGAGAUUUACCUCCCCCGCGCACUCAGAAGGAGGUUCGAGGUUUCCUAGGGAGGCUGAAUUACAUUGCUCGGUUCAUCUCACAACUGACAGAGAAAUGUGAUCCAGUAUUCCGGCUCUUAAAGAAACAUAAUCCGGGCGAAUGGGAUGAAGAGUGUCAGAGGGCUUUCGAUAAGAUAAAGCAGUACUUGGCUAAUACUCCAGUCUUAUCACCUCCAAGUCCAGAUAGGCCAUUGAUAUUGUAUCUAACAGUGUUGGAGAAUUCCAUGGGAUGCGUAUUGGGCCAACAUGAUGAGACGGGAAAGAAAGAAAGGGCAAUAUACUAUCUCAGUAAGAAAUUUACCGAUUGCGAAAUGAGGUACUCAUCAAUUGAGAAGUUGUGUUGUGCUCUAAUCUGGGCAACCCGAAGACUGAGGCAGUAUAUGUUGUAUCACACGACUUGGCUGAUUUCAAAGUUAGAUCCUUUAAAAUAUAUGAUGGAAUCGACUGCUUUGAACGGGAGAAUGGCUAGAUGGCAGAUCUUGCUCUCAGAAUUUGAUAUAGUAUAUGUCAGUCAGAAGGCCAUAAAGGGAAGUGCAAUAGUCGAUUUCCUAGCUAGUAGAGCCUUGGAGGACUAUGAAUCUUUGAAUUUCGAUUUUCCAAACGAGGAUUUGAUGUAUGUGGCGAAUACUGAGGAAAAUCCUCAAAUGGAUCACGUAUGGAAGUUAAAUUUUGAUGGAGCUUCGAAUGCUACGGGUAAUGGAGUUGGGGCAGUUUUGGCAUCCCCAAGUGGAGAUCAUUAUCCUGUUGCUAGCAAGUUGGACUUCGAUUGUACAAAUAACAUGGCAGAAUAUGAAGCAUGUAUUAUGGGCAUUCGUGCAGCCAUUUAACGGAACAUCAAAGUACUGAGAGUAUACGGGGAUUCAGCAUUGGUGAUAUACCAACUCAAAGGGGAGUGGGAGACUAGAGAUCCUAAGCUAAUCGGUUAUAGAAAACUAGUUCUUGAAUUAGCUGAGGAGUUUGACGAUAUCACCUUCUAUUACCUCCCACGGGAGGAAAACCAAAUGGCUGAUGCAUUAGCUACUCUAGCUUCGAUGAUUCAGGUGAAUAGACUUGAGGCAAUGAGGCCUGUUCAGAUGAGUAUCUCUGAGACCCCGGCUAAUUGCUGCAAUAUUGAGGAGGAGGGAAAAGAUGAUUGUCCUUGGUAUCAGAGUAUUUUACAAUAUGUGAAGAAUCGGGAAUACCCUGAUCAAGCGACAGAGAAUGACAAAAGAACUCUGAGAAAGAUAGCCAUUGAAUAUGUCUUAGAUGGAGAAGUGUUAUAUAAAAGAAGGAAGGAUCAAGUACUGUUAAGAUGUGUGGAUGCUGUGGAAGCCAAGAAAAUUUUGGAAGAAGUCCAUGAGGGUAUUUGUGGGACGCACGCCAGUGGUUUCACGAUGGCCAGACAGAUCAUGAGAUUUGGAUACUAUUGGCCCACCAUGGAAGGAGAUUGUAUUGAUCAUGCCAGGAAGUGCCACAAAUGCCAAAUUUACGGAGACAAAAUACACGCGCCUCCUUCACCUCUUCACGUCAUGACCUCUCCUUGGCCGUUUUCCAUGUGGGGUAUGGAUGUUAUUGGGCCAAUAUCACCAAAGGCUUAUAAUGGGCAUCGCUUCAUCUUCGUAGUAAUUGAUUACUUUACCAAGUGGGUGGAGGCUGCUUCAUAUGCAAAUGUCACGAAAGCAGUAGUCAGCAAAUUCUUGAAGAAGGAGAUCAUUUGUCGAUAUGGAAUGCCUGAGAGGAUCAUAUCCGACAAUGCGAUGAACUUGAAUAAUAGCACAAUAGCUGAAGUUUGUAGCAAAUUUAAAAUUAAGCAUCAUAACUCAUCGCCGUAUCGUCCCAAAAUGAAUGGUGCAGUGGAGGCGGCCAAUAAAAACAUUAAAAGGAUUGUGGGGAAAAUGACUGAAACCUACAAGGAUUGGCAUGAGAAAUUAUCAUUUGCUCUCCUUGCCUAUCGAACAUCUGUUAGAACUUCUACUGGGGCAACGCCUUUUUCUCUGGUUUAUGGAAUGGAGGCAGCAUUACCCAUUGAAGUUGAAAUCCCUUCUCUACGGGUGUUAUCUGAGCUACAGUUGGAUGAAGCCGAUUGGAUCCAAUCUCGGUACGAUCAGUUGAACCUAAUAGAAGAAAAGAGGCUAAGAGCUAUUCACCACGGGCAAAUGUACCAGAAACGAAUGACGCGAGCCUAUAAUAAAAAGGUUCGCCCCCAAGAAUUUCGUGAAGGGGACUUGGUACUAAAAAAGAUUCUUCCUAUGCAAAAAGAUUUUAGAGGAAAAUGGAUGCCAAAUUGGGAAGGCCCUUAUGUUGUAAAGAAGGCCUUUUCCGGUGGAGCUUUGAUCCUAUGCGAGAUGGAUGGCAAAAGUUUACCAAAUCCUGUAAACGCAGACUCCGUCAAGAAAUACUUCACUUGAAAGAAAGGGGAACCAAAGUGAAAACCCGUAAAGGGCGCUUUGCUUCCUAAAAAAAAAAAAAAAGGGACUUUGGAGAGGCUAAGGUGAAAACCCGUAAAGGGCACUUUGAGACCAAAGAGGGCUUGAGUCGAAAACCCGAAAAGGGCGACUCAAGUAUUGGGCAGGAUUGGAACAUCAGGACUAGAGCGGAUCAAAUUUUGAUCGGGGGGAUAUGAUGAUCUUCCUUUACUUGAACCAAUAAGAAAGGAUAUGCAACGUCUUGGAACAUUGACAGAGUAUUGCAGAUCUCCUGAACACAUGUCAAACUUAGAAGGGUCUUCGGAAAGUUUGUACAGAGAAACUCAAGCGGCGAUAACUGGGGCACCUAGUUCUUAUGUGUAUUCUUGAAAAUACAUUUUUUUUAUUUUCUUUCUUUCUUCCUUUCCUUUUGUGAAAACGCACAUUCUCAAUCCACUUCUUUGUUACCUUUCUUUCGCCAUCUUUGAUGUUUUAUUUGAGUUAUGAUCAGAACUAGCUUUAUUCUUAUCCAUUGUUAUGAUCUUUUUGCAAACAUGUUACAUAGGAAUAUUGAUUAACGAACUAAUAAAACUUUCAGGAAAGAAGUUUUGCACAUUACUCUGGAAAAUUUCUAAAUAAUAUAGGGACCUGAAACAUGACUAUUGUUUAGAAAAUACCAAGUUUAAAGGGUGAAAUAGCUAGGAAAGAAGAGUCUAAGUUAAAGACUAUCCUUUCAGAUUUCGUUGUCUAAACAUUGAUUGAACAAAAUGACAAGCUGUCGUGUUAAUUACAAAGCUUAAAUGAACAAGCAAGCAAUGAUCAUCAAGCAAUAGGAAGAGGUUACCUCGGAGAAGAGAGCCUUCACUUGCGCAUAAGACUUUGGUACGACACCUUGAGAAUGGUGUAGGAAACCAGAACGGUUCAGAUCCUAUAUCCCCGAAUUGUGAUAAAAGAGGACAGAGGAGAAGCCACAUAUUUCUACCCUUAGAUUACUGUGAGAGAAUGAUGGUACAAAUUUUGGCGUCCCAGUGGAUAUAACUUUGAGGUUUACAAUGGGCACAGUCUGGCUAAAUGUUCCUUCAGAAAAAUCAGUCAAGCGAGAAGGCGUUGUAGCACGUCAGUCACAAAACCUUGAUAAACUGCGAGUAGUGAUAACCUAAGCGAGAUCAUUCUCGGAAAAAUAAAAUUCUGCAUUCAUGCAAACACCAUUCACAUAUGUCUAGUUAGGAGCAUUUGUUUCAUUUUGAUCAUGUCAUCCUAAUCAUUAGGCAUAAUUAGGUUCAUUAUACAGGUCUUAUCUCCCUGAGAUUACAGUGGAACAGACCAAAGAAUUUCAGAUCUUAUCUCCCUGAGGUUACAGCGGAGCAGAUUGAAGCCAGAGAUCUUAUCUCCCUGAGAUUACAGCGGAGCAGAUCAAAGAUAGUAAUCCUAUCUCCUGGAGAUUACAAUGGAGCGGAUUAAAGGAUCUUAUCUCUCUGAAGUUACAGUAGAGAAGAUCACAUCAGGUCUUAUUUCCCUGAGAUUACAGUGGAACAGACCAAAGAAUUUCAGAUCUUAUCUCCCUGAGGUUACAGUGGAGCAGAUUGAAGCCAGAAAUCUUAUCUCCCUGAGAUUACAGCGGAGCAAAUCGAAGACACUAUCCUAUCUCCCUGAGAUUACAGUGGAGCGGAUUAAAAUAAAGGAUCUUAUCUCUCUGAGGUUACAGCAGAGUAGAUCGCAUCAAGUCUUAUUUCCCUGAAGAUGCAGUGGAGUAGACUGAAAACAACAAGUUGUGUCUCCCUAAAGUUGUAGUGGAGCGGACAAUAGAUAGCGGUUCUUAUCAUGUUGAAUCUUAUUUCCCUGAAGUUGCAGCGGAAUAGGUUGAAGCAUGGAGUAGAUCGACUACGAAUCAUAUUUCCCUGAAGUUGCAGUGGAGCGGGUCAAAAUGAUGGACCUUACCCCCUGAAGCUACAAUAGAGUGGAUUGAAGCUACAAGUUUUGUCUUUUGGAAGUUACAGUGGAGUGGGUCGACGCAACAAGACACAGUGGACUAAAAUAAAGUUACUUGAAAAGAAGCGUCAAGAGAAGUCAAUACUCGGCAAAGACUGGACAAAAAUUGGUCUUUCUUAGUCUUUGCUCUGUUAUUGUUACACGACAACGAGCAAAGAGGGGCAGCUGUACAAGCCCAAUUUUUGACCCAGGGCCCAAUAACAAAUUUUAACCUAAAAACUACCCAGGCCCAACUAGCCUAACCCAAUCAACCCAAAACAUAAACACCUAGCAGAAACCCUAGCCCCCUGUUGUGCCGCACCUGCUCCUGGCCUCCUCACCUGCCCUCUGUUCACAGCCGUCACCACGCCCACUUGCCACCGACUCACCUGCUCCAACUGCUCCGCCAGCACCUGCAAAACCGCAAAUAACAGCAACCACAAAAUGAAAAGAAAAAAGCAUGUAAUGUUGGCUAUAAAAGCCAAGUUUAUCCACUGUAAAAAGGGUUGGCCCCUUUGUUCUAUUGGCCUUAACGAAUCUAUUUCCCAGAAAUAAAAAGAAACAAAGAAUUUGAAGGUGAUUUUGGUCUUUAUUAGAUUCGCAUUUUUUUUAUCUCUUAUUUUUUUCAUUUAUUUUAGAUAUCAAUAAUAUAAAAUAAAAGAGAGAAAAAGGAGAGGAAAAUUUUACCUUUGAAUUUUCCGGCCACCGUGUACGGUGGCCGACGCGACGCCGUUAAUGGCGGAAGAUCGCCGGAACCCAUGGCCGGACUUGGGCCUGAGAGAGAAGGAGAGAGCUCUCUCUCUCUCUGUUUUUUUUAAAUGAUGAAACUGAUUUGUUUUUUUUUUGGUUUUUCUUAUUAUUUAUACUAAACAUGAAACGACGUCGUUUUGGUGGGGAGGAUCCGCGCGUUGACCCGACCCAACCGCCUAGGAUCCGCGUGUUUUCUAGCACAUGGGUAAUUUGCGCACACGGUCCUCCCUCUUUUGCGAUGGUUUUCAAUUUGGUCCAAGAACCAUGCGCCUGGGCCUUGGCAGAACGGCACCGUUUGGUUAACAUGGGAAUAUUUCCCAUUUGGCCCUUCUACUUUUCGCGUCCAUCACAAUUGGGUCCCUUUCUUUAUUUAUUUAUUUUCGAUUUCGCCCCAAAUGUUGCUCUUUUAUUAUUCUAGUCCUUUUCUAAUUUUUUUUUACUUUUAUUUUAUUAUUAAACCUAUUAUGUUAUUUACUGUUAUUAUUAUUAUCCUCAUAUUUUGUUUAUACUUAUUAUGUAAAUUUUAUAUAUAUAUGCUUCAUAUUAUAUUAUUAUUAUAUAAUUGCUUAUAUAUGUAUAUAGGUAUAUGUAUAUGUAUGUUUUUUUUAUAUACAUAAAUACUCUUUUUUUUCAUAUGUGUAUAUUUAUAUAUAUAUAUAUGCUCUUACAUAUUCAUUAUAUUUUCAAAAUAUAUUGUUUAUAUUUUUUGUACUUUGUGAUUUAUAUAUAUAAUUACAUAUGUAUUUAUAUAUAUUUGAUGAUGGUUUUAUACGUAUACAUGUACGUGCAUAUAUGCUUAUGUAUUUUCACGCCCAAUAGUUUUAAAUAAGGUGUACAUGCGUAUGUUUUUCAUAUUUUCAUGCUUAUAUGUAUACGUGUUUAUGUAUCUUUAUAAUUAUAUGAUUUUUGUUGAUUUUGUUCAUUUAUUUAUUUACAUGUUUAUUAUUGUUUAUUUUCUUACUUUAGUUUUUUAUCGUUUGUUAUUUCGCCCGUAUAAUUGUUUUUAUUGUUUAUUAUUUUGCUUGUAUCAUUUUAUUUACAUUGUCAUCAUUAUUAUUAUUUUGCAUUCAUUUUUACUCGGAUUUAUCAAAAAAAACAAAAAAAUCUAAAAUAAAAGUAACACUCGGUAUUUUAGAUCUUCGAGAGAAUCGAGCCCUAACGUAUUGGGUUCCGAUUUUCUUCGUUGAAUUUAAAUAAUCGAGAUUACUCUUUUAAAAAUGAUAUAAAGCUCGUUAUCAAGAAUUCAAUACGUUGUGUCCUAACGCAUUGGAUGUGACACGUUGUUUUCUCGAGACGAGGAUUUUUCGAAAUAAAUGCAAUAUUCAAUGUUUAAUAUUUUAAGAAAUUGUGCCCUAACGUAUUGGGUUGCGAUUUCUUCACUUGAUUUUAAACAAUUGAAUAUUCUUUUAAACUUUAUUACACGAUUCUUUUAAACUCAAGUUAAAUGAUAUCGGGAGUUAAGAAAAGAUUGUGUCCUAACUUACUGGACAUGAUCCCUUUCCUAAACCCGAGAUAAUAAAAUAUCUUUUUAAAUAAAUAAAAUUUUGGCAUUCAUUCGCGUAUCGGAAAUUCGAGACAUUGUGUCCUAACUUACUGGAUAUGAUGCUUUUUUUUUCUCGAUUAACGCGGAAUGUGUCCCCUUUUCCCAAAAUUUUCAACUUUUUAAUACAAGGAACGUAUUUUUAAAUUUCUUUAAAGUUUUCAACUUUUCGACAUUAAGACAUUAAGUAAUCAACUAAGGUACCAAUUUUGGGCGUAUCGAGGGUGCUAAUCCUUCCUCGUGCGUAACCGACUCCCGAACCCGUUUUUCUGAAUUUCGUGGAUCAAACCUGUUGUUUUAAUAAAAUCAAACCGUUUAUUAAAAAUAACUACUUUUCGAGGUGAUCCAAUCACACCUCAUAGAAAAGGAUUGGUGGCGACUCCCGUUUCAUUUUUCAAAACCCAAGUCGACCCCGUUUUCAUCAAAAAAAUGGUGUCAACAUUAUUAAUUUGUUACGUUUUUAGGAGAGGAUGAAGAGGGAAGUGGCGUUUCUUCAGUGAUUUAAGGGCGCGGGUUGUUGUUGCAUGCUUGGGUAAGCGUUUGGUUCUAUUUUGGGGCUGCGUAAUUUCAUUUGUAGGUGCGUUUAGUAGAUUUUGGAUGAAUUGAGGCUGGUGUUCUAGGAAUGGGUUCGUUUUUGUUACUAAUUUAAGUGUUCGAAUUAUUGUGUUUAGGUUCUAGAAGUCUCAUGGGUGUUUUUACAUCAAAAUCGAACCAGAUGUGUAACGAGAAACCCAGAAAACAACGAACAGUGAAAGUCAAAAUUGUG
rnacentral:lncRNA from 1 species